AGCAGCCGCGGUAAUUCCAGCUCCAAUAGCGUAUAUUAAAGUUGUUGCAGUUAAAAAGCUCGUAGUUGAAUUUCGGGAUCAAUUUGCUGGUCGUGCCUUCGGUACGCACUGGUAUUAUUGGUUUCUCCUUUCUGAUGAAUCGCGAUGUCAUUAAUUUGGUGUCGUGGGGAAUCAGGACCGUUACUUUGAAAAAUUAGAGUGUUUAAAGCAGGCUCACGCUUGAAUACAUUAGCAUGGAAUAAUGAAAUAGGACGUUUGAUUCUAUUUUGUUGGUUUCUAGGAUCGACGUAAUGAUUAAUAGGGAUAGUUGGGGGCAUUAGUAUUCAAUUGUCAGAGGUGAAAUUCUUGGAUUUAUUGAAGACUAACUACUGCGAAAGCAUUUGCCAAGGAUGUUUUCAUUAAUCAAGAACGAAAGUUAGGGGAUCGAAGACGAUCAGAUACCGUCGUAGUCUUAACCAUAAACUAUGCCGACUAGGGAUCGGAUGAUGUUAAUUUUUAAUGACUCAUUCGGCGCCUUACG
rnacentral:rRNA from 1 species